AACGUAGGUGGCGAGCGUUAUCCGGAAUUACUGGGCGUAAAGCGCGCGUAGGCGGACCUGCAAGUCGGGGGUGAAAGCCCGAGGCUCAACCUCGGAACUGCCUUCGAUACUGCGGGUCUCGAGUCCGGGAGAGGUGAGUGGAAUUCCUAGUGUAGAGGUGAAAUUCGUAGAUAUUAGGAAGAACACCAGUGGCGAAGGCGGCUCACUGGCCCGGUACUGACGCUGAGGCGCGAAAGCGUGGGGAGCAAACAGG
rnacentral:rRNA from 1 species